UAGGGAAUCUUCGGCAAUGGGGGGAACCCUGACCGAGCAACGCCGCGUGAGUGAAGAAGGUUUUCGGAUCGUAAAGCUCUGUUGUUAAGGAAGAACGAGUGUGAGAAUGGAAAGUUCAUGCUGUGACGGUACUUAACCAGAAAGGGACGGCUAACUACGUGCCAGCAGCCGCGGUAAUACGUAGGUCCCGAGCGUUGUCCGGAUUUAUUGGGCGUAAAGCGAGCGCAGGCGGUUAGAAAAGUCUGAAGUGAAAGGCAGUGGCUCAACCAUUGUAGGCUUUGGAAACUGUUUAACUUGAGUGCAGAAGGGGAGGGUGGAAUUCCAUGUGUAGCAGUGAAAUGCGUAGAUAUAUGGAGGAACACCGGUGGCGAAAGCGGCUCUCUGGUCUGUAACUGACGCUGAGGCUCGAAAGCGGGGGGAGCGAACAGG
rnacentral:rRNA from 1 species